rnacentral:rRNA from 1 species
UACGAAGGGGGCUAGCGUUGUUCGGAUUUACUGGGCGUAAAGCGCACGUAGGCGGAUUGUUAAGUCGGGGGUGAAAUCCUGGAGCUCAACUCCAGAAUUGCCUUCGAUACUGGCUUUCUAGAGGCUGGAAGAGGUUAGUGGAAUUCCCAGUGUAGGGGUGAAAUUCGUAGAUAUUGGGAAGAACACCAGUGGCGAAGGCGGCUAACUGGUCCAGAUCUGACGCUGAGGUGCGAAAGCGUGGGGAGCAAACAGG